rnacentral:rRNA from 1 species
UACAGAGGUCCCAAGCGUUGUUCGGAUUCACUGGGCGUAAAGGGUGCGUAGGUGGCGGAGUAAGUCGGAUGUGAAAUCUCCGGGCUCAACCCGGAAAAUGCAUUGGAAACUGCUUUGCUCGAGGGUUGGAAGGGGGACUGGAAUACUUGGUGUAGCAGUGAAAUGCGUAGAUAUCAAGUGGAACACCAGUGGCGAAGGCGAGUCCCUGGACAACUCCUGACACUGAGGCACGAAAGCAUGGGUAGCAAACAGG